GCCUGGAUAGCUCAGUUUUAGAGUGUGUGACUCUUAAUCUCAGGGUUGUAAGUUCGAGUCCCACAUUGGGUU
rnacentral:tRNA from 1 species